UGGUUUUAGAACCAUGUACAUGGAACUCAAACAUUCAGUCUUCAGACUUCAAGUAAAAGGGGACCACACAUCAGAACCACGCAUCAGCCACUGGUUUCAGAACCACGCAUCAACUUCCUCUUGUUUUCAAAUUCACACACUGUCAUCAUUGAACCAGUAAUAUAAUAUUAUAAGCAGAGACUGAUAAUUCUAAUUAGCCAACUUUACACAGAACAAACCAAAGUAACCAUGGCUAGAUAAUCCCAUCACAAGUCCAUAGCACAUAAACUUGUUCAAGGGCAAGACAUGACCACUUUAUUCUAAAGGGUGUUCAGACAAAUAACAGGGAAGAAUUGUUGCUUCAACGAGUCACGUGUGGAGUUUUAUCUU
rnacentral:lncRNA from 1 species